AUGCCGGCCCCAGAGCUCGACGCUCGGGCUCAGCGCCUGAGCAUCCUGCGUCUGGUCUUGCAGGUAAUCCAGGCCGAGCGCGUGGAGGCUGGCGCUCACCGUGUCCCCGCGAGCGUCGGCGUACGCCGCCACGCAGUAGCUGAGCCGCCCAUUAGCGGCGAGGCGGUCAAGGGUGAGGCCCAGCUUCUGCACGGCGGCGGCGGGGAUCCUCGGCGGCGUGAUGGAGGCGGGUGCGGGCUUGGCCUUGUCGGGGUCCUCCUGCAUCGCGAGCGGAGCAGAGUGCUCGGCGAGGAGGCGGCAGAACUCGGCCUCGAGCACGUCGAGGGCGGCGGUGAGGAGGCCGGCGUCGAGGUCGGCUGCGGGGACGCCCUUGAGUUUCGAGAGCGCCCCGGCGAGGCCGGCCACGAAGCGAGGGUCGGCGAGGCUGCGCUUGCCGAGGUAGUCGACGAUGUCGGAGAGCCAGUCGACGGCGAGGCCGCAGUUGUCGGCGAGGAAGCGGAGCGCCUCCUCGAGGCGGGCGACGAGGGCGAGGUAGCCCGGGAGGUCCUCCCGGGCGGCGGCCCCGGCGAGGAGCGGCGGCUCGAGGCCGUGCACGGCGUCGAACACCUUGAGGACGGCCGCGGCGGGCCCCACGGCGCGGUCGAUGUUGGGGCCGGCCCCCUCGAGCGCGUCCCGCGGCGCGCGGAUCGGGCGCACCCCGGCCUCCGUGGCCGCCAGCCGCGCCUGGAUCUCCCCGACCCGGGCCCCCGUCCGCGCCAGCGCGUGGCUCAGCGCCCGCGACCGCUCCACCCCGGCCCGCAGCGCGCUCCGCGCCGCCUGCAGGCUCGCCAUCCGCCGCGCCUCCUCCGCCCCCUGAUCCAUCCCCAUCCCCCGGUGGUAGCGCACGGCCUCGCCCUCCGAAUGCGCGUCGGACGGACCGCUCGACGCCCACGGCCGCGGGCGGGCUUGUCCCUCGCUCUGGCUCGCAGGAAUUGGUGUAGGAAUCAAUCUGCCGGCCGGUGGGAGCUCGAGGUCCGGCGUCCCUUGCAAGCGAGUGCGUACUACUUAUCCGGCGCGGGGAGGGAGGGAGGGGGAAAAGGCGAUGGCGACGGCGACGGGCGCCCGUCCGGAGAGGUGGGUGCUGUGGUGUGGCGUGCGGGGCAGAGGCGGGGGGAGGUGGAGCGGGGCUGA
rnacentral:rRNA from 1 species